rnacentral:rRNA from 1 species
ACGGGCUUGGCGGAAUCAGCGGGGAAAGACNACCCUGUUGAGCUUGACUCUAGUCCGACUUUGUGAAGAGACAUGAGANGGUGUAGCAUAGGUGGGAGCGCAAGCGACCUUGAAAUACCACUACUUGNAUCGUUUCUUUACUUAUUCAGUGGAGCGGAGAGCGGGGCGCAAGCCCCUAGCUUCUGGAGUUAAGGCCGAGGCUUCUAGUUUCGGUCGAUCCGCUCUGAAGACCUUGUCAGGCGGGGAGUUUGACUGGGGCGGUACAUCUGUCAAACGGUAACGCAGGUGUCCUAAGGCGAGCUCAGUGAGGACGGAAACCUCACGUAGAGUAAAAGGGCAAAAGCUCGCUUGAUUUUGAUUUUCAGUACGAAUACAGACGGUGAAAGCCUGGCCUAUCGAUCCUUUUGACUUUAGGAGUUUUAAGCAAGAGGUGUCAGAAAAGUUACCACAGGGAUA